AACGAACGCUGGCGGCAGGCCUAACACAUGCAAGUCGAGCGCUUCCUUCGGGAAGAGCGGCGGACGGGUUAGUAACGCGUGGGAACGUGCCUCUCUCUACGGAAUAGCCAUUGGAAACGAUGAAUAAUACCGUAUACGCCCUUCGGGGAAAGAUUUAUCGGAGAAGGAUCGGCCCGCGUUAGAUUAGAUAGUUGGUGGGGUAACGGCCUACCAAGUCUACGAUCUAUAGCUGGUUUUAGAGGAUGAUCAGCAACACUGGGACUGAGACACGGCCCAGACUCCUACGGGAGGCAGCAGUGGGGAAUCUUAGACAAUGGGCGCAAGCCUGAUCUAGCCAUGCCGCGUGAGUGAUGAAGGCCCUAGGGUCUAAAGCUCUUUCGCCAGGGAUGAUAGUGACAGUACCUGGUAAAGACCCCGG
rnacentral:rRNA from 1 species